GGACGCCAGUCUGCAUGGAGCCGACCUUGAAAUACCACCCUUUAAUGUUUGAUGUUCUAACGUUGGCCCCUGAUCGGGGUUGCGGACAGUGUCUGGUGGGUAGUUUGACUGGGGCGGUCUCCUCCUAAAGAGUAACGGAGGAGCACGAAGGUUGGCUAAUCCUGGUCGGACAUCAGGAGGUUAGUGCAAUGGCAUAAGCCAGCUUGACUGCGAGCGUGACGGCGCGAGCAGGUGCGAAAGCAGGUCAUAGUGAUCCGGUGGUUCUGAAUGGAAGGGCCAUCGCUCAACGGAUAAAAGGUACUCCGGGGAUAACAGGCUGAUACCGCCCAAGAGUUCAUAUCGACGGCGGUGUUUGGCACCUCGAUGUCGGCUCAUCACAUCCUGGGGCUGAAGUAGGUCCCAAGGGUAUGGCUGUUCGCCAUUUAAAGUGGUACGCGAGCUGGGUUUAGAACGUCGUGAGACAGUUCGGUCCCUAUCUGCCGUGGGCGCUGGAGAACUGAGGGGGGCUGCUCCUAGUACGAGAGGACCGGAGUGGACGCAUCACUGGUGUUCGGGUUGUCAUGCCAAUGGCACUGCCCGGUAGCUAAAUGCGGAAGAGAUAAGUGCUGAAAGCAUCUAAGCACGAAACUUGCCCCGAGAUGAGUUCUCCCUGACUCCCUGAGAGUCCUGAAGGAACGUUGAAGACGACGACGUUGAUAGGCCGGGUGUGUAAGCGCAGCGAUGCGUUGAGCUAACCGGUACUAAUGAACCGUGAGG
rnacentral:rRNA from 1 species